AUUGAACGCUGGCGGCAUGCUUUACACAUGCAAGUCGAGCGGCAGCGCGGGGGCAACCCUGGCGGCGAGCGGCGAACGGGUGAGGAAUACAUCGGAACGUACCCCGGAGUGGGGGAUAACGCCGCGAAAGCGGCGCUAAUACCGCAUAUGCUCUGAGGAGGAAAGUGGGGGACCUGCAAGGGCCUCACGCUCUGGGAGCGGCCGAUGUACGAUUAGCUAGUUGGUGGGGUAAAGGCCCACCAAGGCGACGAUCGGUAGCUGGUCUGAGAGGAUGAUCAGCCACACUGGGACUGAGACACGGCCCAGACUCCUACGGGAGGCAGCAGUGGGGAAUUUUGGACAAUGGGGGCAACCCUGAUCCAGCCAUGCCGCGUGCGGGAAGAAGGCCU
rnacentral:rRNA from 1 species